AAAAAAUGCAAACUCUGGGUUUCCGUGUCCAACUUUAACUGUCCGUCUUAUAUGAAAUUUUUUUAUAAUUUGUAUUUUUAUUGUUGUUAGAUGAUAAAACAUGAUUAAUAUUUUAUACGUGACUUGUCUUUUUAAUUUUUUUCAUAAUUUUUUCAAAUAAGACGGACGAUCAAACGUUGGACACGGAAACCAGGGUUUGUAUUUUUU
rnacentral:pre_miRNA from 1 species